rnacentral:rRNA from 1 species
CCUACGGGAGGCAGCAGUGAGGAAUAUUGGUCAAUGGACGAGAGUCUGAACCAGCCACGCAGCGUGAAGGAUGACUGCUUUAUGGGUUGUAAACUCCUUUUAUAAAGGAAUAAAACGAGGCACGUGUGCUUUUUUGCAUGUACCUUAUUAAUAAGGAUCGGCUAACUCCGUGCCAGCAGCCGCGGUAAUACGGAGGAUCCGAGCGUUAUCCGGAUUUGUUGGGUUUAAAGGGAGCGUAGAUGGGUUGUUAAGUCAGUUGUGAAAGUUUGCGGCUCAACCGUAAAAUUGCAAUUGAUACUGGCAGUCUUGAGUACAGUUGAGGUAGGCGGAAUUCGUGGUGUAGCGGUGAAAUGCUUAGAUAUCACGAAGAACCCCGAUUGCGAAGGCAGCUGACUAGACUGUGACUGACAGUGAUGCUCGAAAGUGUGGGUAUCAAACAGGAUUAGAUACCCCAGUAGUC